rnacentral:rRNA from 1 species
GAUGAACGCUAGCGGCAGGCCUAAUACAUGCAAGUCGAACGGUGUCUUCGGACAUAGUGGCGCACGGGUGCGUAACACGUAUGCAACCUACCUUACAUUGGGGGAUAGCCUUUCGAAAGGGAGAUUAAUACCGCAUAAGACAGUAACUUGGCAUCAAGUAGCUGUUAAAGAUUUAUCGAUGUAAGCUGGGCAUGCGUCCAAUUAGCUAGUUGGUGAGGUAAUGGCUCACCAAGGCUAUGAUUGGUAGGGGAACUGAGAGGUCAAUCCCCCACACUGGCACUGAGAUACGGGCCAGACUCCUACGGGAGGCAGCAGUAGGGAAUAUUGGGCAAUGGACGCAAGUCUGACCCAGCCAUGCCGCGUGCAGGAUGAAGGCGUUAUGCGUUGUAAACUGCUUUUAUACAGGAAGAAACGACUCUUGCGAGAGGCAUUGACGGUACUGUAU